AGCGGCAGGCCUUAUACAUGCAAGUCGAGGGGCAGCAUUUACUUCGGUAAAUGGCGACCGGCGCACGGGUGAGUAACGCGUAUGCAACCUACCUUUAACUGGGGCAUAGCUCGAGGAAACUCGAAUUAAUUCCCCAUAGUACAUUCUAUUAUCUCAUGAUAUAAAUGUUAAAGAUUUAUCGGUUAAAGAUGGGCAUGCGUCUGAUUAGUUUGUUGGUAAGGUAACGGCUUACCAAGACUACGAUCAGUAGGGGGUCUGAGAGGAUGAUCCCCCACACUGGUACUGAGACACGGACCAGACUCCUACGGGAGGCAGCAGUAAGGAAUAUUGGGCAAUGGGCGCAAGCCUGACCCAGCCAUGCCGCGUGCAGGAUGACGACCCUAUGGGUUGUAAACUGCUUUUAUAUAGGAAGAAAACACUCUUGCGAGAGAAACUGACGGUACUAUAUGAAUAAGGACCGGCUAACUCCGUGCCAGCAGCCGCGGUAAUACGGAGGGUUCAAGCGUUUUCCGGAUUUAUUGGGUUUAAAGAGUGCGUAGGUGGUUUAUUAAGUCAGUGGUGAAAUCCUGCAGCUCAACUGUAGAACUGCCAUUGAUACUGGUAAACUUGAGUUUGGUUUAGGUAAGUGGAAUUUAUGAUGUAGCGGUGAAAUGCAUAGAUAUCAUAAGGAACACCAAUAGCGAAGGCAGCUUACUGGACCACAACUGACACUGAGGCACGAAAGCGUGGGUAGCGAACAGGAUUAGAUACCCUGGUAGUCCACGCCGUAAACGAUGCUCACUCGAUGUUAGCGAUAUACUGUUAGCGUCCAAGCUAAAGCGUUAAGUGAGCCACCUGGGGAGUACGCCG
rnacentral:rRNA from 1 species